GACAAGCCAGUGUUAGCUAAACCACUAAAACAAGUUUAUAUUCGACAUACCAUGUCAACAACCAGUGUUUCUCUUUACCUGCUGAGCUCAUCAGUAUUUAUUUAUCAGCUUCAAACUUAAAUGAAGGAAAUGGGCGUGUUCAAACAACAUAUUGUGCUGCUACGAUUCUGAAUACAAACUUUCACGGGACACCUGUGAAUGUGUCUGGUUAUAUUUGCAUUUUAUCUAUCACAGAAACAAAGGAAACGAACUUUCAAAACUAUUCCGUUACAGUAUCUAAUGAAUGCUGUUCUAAUACUUUUUAUUUUUCUAUCUGGUUUGCAAGUACACCAGAAAUGCCAAGAAAUGUUCAGGUUCUAACAUUAGGAGUAAAAAUGAUAGUUAAAUGGCAGGCCGGCAAAAGUGAUGGAAUGCUACAAACAUUCUUUAUAGAAUACCGAAAAGGUUUUGAGCAAGAAUGGAAUGUGAUUCCUGCAGAAAAUAAAACAUCUGUAGUAAUCGACGGGCUACAAGCUGAAACUGUGUACUCUGUACGAGUGUUUGCCAUGACCAUUGUAGGGAAAAGUAACAAAACAGACGACAUUAUAGUCAAAACAGGUAGUCGGCAUUUGAUGAUUCACAGCUACUUAUGGAAAAUAAGUUUAUUCAGUAGUGGCGCAGUCGUUGGAUUUCUCCUUUGCUUGAACGGAAUAAAAG